UAUAAAGUUUAAUCUGCUCAAUGAAUGUUUAAAUAGCUGCAGUAAUUUGACUGUACAAAGGUAGCAUAAUAAUUAGUUUUUUAAUUGAAAGCUUGUAUGAAUGAUUGGACGAGAUAAAAUCUAUUUUAUUUAAUUUAAUAUAGAAUUUAAUUUUUUAGUAAAAAAGCUAAAAUUUGAAUAAAAGACGAGAAGACCCUAUAGAUUUUUAUUUAUUUAUUAUUAAAUAAUUUUAAGAUUAAUUAAUUAUUUAUUAUUAAAUAAAUUUUAUUGGGGUAAUAUAAAGAUUUAAAUAAUUCUUUAAUUUUGUUAAUCAAAGAUUAUUGUGUAUUUGAUCCAUUAUUAGUGAUUAAUAGAUUAAAUUACCUUAGGGAUAACAGCGUAAUAUUUUUGGAGAGUUCUUAUUAAUAAAAAUGUUUGCGACCUCGAUGUUGGAUUAAAAUUUAUUUAAGGUGCAGAAGCUUUUUAAUUUUAGUCUGUUCGACUAUUAAAUUUU
rnacentral:rRNA from 1 species